rnacentral:tRNA from 1 species
AUUUAAAUAGUUUAAAAAAAAUAUUGGUUUGUGGAGCUAAUGAUAUAAUUUCUUAUUUUAAAUA